UCCUGCUACCCGCUCUGUGUGAUGAGCCACUCUAUGCUUGUCAACAACAUCCCCUAUCAUUCUCGCACAGCUAUCUACUCACAAAACCAAGACCCGCCCCCCUGCAUCCCUCCAGCAAUUCCACCAUCCUCCAGGAGAAACACCUCCGAAAGCAGAACGGGGUUGCUCGCAGCGACAGCAGCAACGAUCUCUUUUUCAAACCCCCCCUCCUCCUCCCCUUCUUUCUCUCCUUUUCUGUGCAUGCUCUCUCCUCUCGUUUCCCUUUUUUGUCUACACUUCUACCUUCCCGCGCCGCUACUGCUGCCGCUGCGUUCGGCACGUUGGAUGGAAGCAUGAAAGAGAGGAGCGCGAGGAUGGGAGCCCGGCACCGGUUCCUCAGUCAGAUACAACCUGCACAAGAUUGAAGAGUGUGGGGGAAAAAAAAGAAAACUAGGCUGUGAGAGCGGCAAAGCGAGAGCGGAGAGGAGGAGGAGGAGAGAAGAGCAGGACAAGGAGGAGGAGGAGAAGAAGAGGGAGGAGGAGGGAGCCGAGCAUCUAAUACGUGCACCAACAGAAGCCCAAAUAAAAGGAAUAAAGGAAUCCUCCAGCAACUGUUUGGCCAGAGAUGAUGCAUUUGGUGGAGCUGCUAUGGAAAAGGAAGAAGGUGGGACAUUUAAGAGGAUUUAAACUAAACAUAAAAAAAAAGCACACAUUUUGACUCACAGUUGCAUAUGGAAAGCCGGAUCUGUUGU